rnacentral:rRNA from 1 species
CGAAAGCCUGACGGAGCAACGCCGCGUGAGGGAGGAAGGUCUUUGGAUUGUAAACCUCUUUUCUCAAGGAAGAUAAUGACGGUACUUGAGGAAUCAGCAUCGGCUAACUCCGUGCCAGCAGCCGCGGUAAUACGGGGGAUGCGAGCGUUAUCCGGAAUUAUUGGGCGUAAAGCGUCCGUAGGCGGUCAUGUAAGUCUGCUGUUAAAGCGUGCAGCUUAACUGCAUAAGGGCGGUGGAAACUGCAUGACUUGAGUGUGGUAGGGGUAGAGGGAAUUCCCGGUGUAGCGGUGAAAUGCGUAGAUAUCGGGAAGAACACCAGUGGCGAAGGCGCUCUACUGGGCCACAACUGACGCUGAUGGACGAAAGCUAGGGGAGCG